rnacentral:lncRNA from 1 species
UUUUUCAAAGCUUAGCAAGCUGAUUAACCUCCAAUAGGCUAAGAACACACCUCUUUUCACAAUUUUUUUCAUUGUAGGAGUACAAGGCUAAAGGUAUUCUUUUCUAAAUUGUCCAUGUAACGGGGGUCCAUCGAUGACUCCCAACCAAUUAAGGUUUAGGGCAUCAAGCUUUAAGGAUCUUUCAACCACUAACUCCUCGAAUUUUACC